rnacentral:lncRNA from 1 species
GAUGCUUGCCUGUCCCAGUGGAAUUAAUGGAAGCUGUCAACAGCCCGCCCCCGACCUCACUGGAUAUAACUGUGUCCUCGGCAGACCUUCAGUUUGUCAGAACCAGUUGGGAUGCAACAGGAUUUUCAGUUUUGCUGCCUUCCAUGCAUGAAUGGCUUCUGUUAGGUUGGAAUGACCAAGAUGAUUUUUCCACCCAUUCUUGGGACCUGGACUAUGAUGGCCACAGCAGCUAAAGAUGCCAGAUACUCCUUCAGGUUCUGCAUACUAUGAAACUACUACAUCAGCAGGUCCAAAGGACUCCACUGACUCAACUGAUCUGAGGGACCCCAUGAGAAGCCUACUCAUCAAAGAAUGCAGUUUCUAAAUCCUGAUGAGUUCACCCCCCUUGCCCUGACCAAUCAACAAUCCUAAUUCUCCAGUCCCUUGCCCUCCAUGAUCCUCUUAAAAACCCUAGCCCAGAAUUCCUCAGGAAGAUGGAUUUGAGGGUCUCCUUCCAACUCCUCACUCAGCGCCCUGUGGUCAUUAAACUUUCUCUGCUGCA